UUAUUUUUUACUCAGUGAAUUGUCCAAUGCAUCUCUUCAACUGAUUUUACUCUCGUCUGUAGCUAGCAUUUGGUCAUCCAAUGUGAAUAAGUGCACCCCAGCAAACCCUGUACUCCUGUCUCUGUGUUGGACAUGGGCCACGAUGGUGCCACUGUGACUCUAAAUAUAUCCAGACGGACUUUCCUCCCUAUUGGAGUCUGUCGCUACAACUUUGAGACAGUUACUUACUGUCAUACUUAAAAUGUGAUCCCUUACAAGACACUGAGGACUGAGUACAAGCCCUUUGAAGCCAAACGACGGCUGCUGGGGAACUUUGACAUGUUUCUUUCAGACGACCGCAUUCGCCGCCUACUGUCCUCGCACAUCGGCAAGCACUUCUACGAGAGAAAGAAGGAGCCUUUGUCAUUGAACCUGCAGAGCAAAAAAGCUGGCCUUGGACAUCCAGAGAACCAUCCAGGGAACAACAACCUCCAUUUCUAAGAAAGGCUGCUACUGCAUGGCUUAUGUGGCCCACUCUGGGAUGGCUGCAGAUGAAAUAGCAGAGAAUAUUGAUUCAGCUGUCAGCACCAUCGUGACAAAACUACGGGUUAGAAAGGACCGUUGAUAAAGGUCAUCCACUUGAAAAGUCAAUCAGUGGCUCUGCCCAUCUACACCUCUAACCUGAGUAACCUGACCCUUAUAGAUGAAACACAGAAACAGACCCGCGCAGCCAUGGAU